rnacentral:lncRNA from 1 species
GUGUGUGUGUGUGUGUGUGUGUGUGUGUGUGUGUGUGUGCUGUACCCACGGUAUACGGAGGUUCCCAGGCUAGGUGUCAAAUUGUCAAAUCAGAGCUGUAGCUGCUGGCCUGCGGCACAGCCACAGCAACUCGGGAUCCGAGCUGUGUCUGCGAUCUACACCACAGCUCACGGCAACGCUGGAUCCUUAACCCACUGAUCGAGGCCAGGGAUUGAACCAGCGUCCUCACGGAUGCUAGUCAGAUUCGUUUCCACUGAGCCACGAUGGGAAUUCCACGUUGAUUUCAAUUUUUCUAAAAAUCCACCUGUGGUUACUUUAUCUUUGUCCUUCUCUUGUCUAUUGAUGCCUUAUGAGAUGCACUGUGGAUACAGAGAGGAGAGUUGGCUAUGUGUCUCUGGAGAGCACAUACUCCAUGCCUCUGGCCUCCCAGUUUACUGUGUCUACAAAAUCAGUGGGUGUGAUGGCCAGAGUAUCCUUCAGGUCUAAAAGACUAGGUAGCUAAUAUAAAGGCCAGAAAUGCCUCAAGUGUGCAGAUUUUUAAGAAACGGGAGGCAAAGAGUGUCACAUAAGCAUAUACGAGCUUCAGUUCAUGGAUGAAAAGUUAGAGUGGGUUACCUUACGCAAAAUAACCUGAGUCCUUACAAAAUAUUCAUAAUUGCCCAAGAUAAAGAAUUUUAAUCUUAAAAAUCAAAAUCUUGAUUCAUUUUAAGAUUAUUUUGGCUUGUUUCAUCUUUAAAAUGCUAUUUAUUUCAUGUGGCCUAUCAAGGUUUUAUUUUAGGAAUACUGAAACUGACAGCAGGUAGUAGAGACUUAGACAUUCGUGAAACCCAGUCCCCAUACUUCCUUCAUCUUUCAUCUGCACGUUUCUGGCAGUUUCCAUCUCUGAGCUCUCUUGCCUGUGCCACCUCUGUUCCUUUCCCCACUCUCUCUGGAGUUAAUGAUUCCACCUGGACGGUUUCUCCUCCAGAAGACAGAGUUGCUACUUCUCCAAAGCUCUUGGCGCUUCCUUUUGGGGGAAGCUGUUUUGGCACCACUGGGGCUGGAGCUUUUGCUUUGCAUUUCCCUGUCCUGUUACUCCAUGUGAUGUGUAUUCCGCCUGCUUUUAGCUGAAGGCCUUCCCAGACUGGGCAGCUGAAUGCACUGCACAGCUGCCAAAAUUCUAAUUCAAGAGCUAGAAUUCUUACUCCUGCUCUCUAGACCCUUGUCUGGCCCUGGCUCCAGUCUCCUGCCAACUGGGUCCCUGGCUCAUUAUCAGGCCCACCCGGGCCCUGUCUCCACCCCCAAGUGGGCCCAGGAAACCAUUCU